ensembl:lncRNA
CCAAUCACAGCGUUUCCACUGAUGUUAAUCAUUCUGAACAAUUUAGCGUAAUUACCGUUCGUAGCGUAAUUAACUAUCUGAGGAUCAGUAUGUCUCAGAAACAGUCAACAGAUUGUUCACUGAGUGCUUCAAAGAUGGAGUUCGGAAUGAAACGCCAUUAUGGAGGAGUUUCCUGAAAGGAAAGAUUCCCACUGUGAGGCCGAGAGUCACCGCUGGAGUCUUUUCCCCUCCAUAAAAGAGAAACGUGCACGAGAGCAAAGAGGCCGUUGAGCUCCAUUAAACUCCUCCACUGACAAAACAUCUACUGAGAGCUGCAGGGUUCCUCCAACAUCUCGGCCACAUUAUCAACUGGCUUCUAAACGUUGUUUCGCCUUGAUGGCCUGCACCCCAGCAGCCUCGGAGCGGAACUGCUGUCAGACAACAUCUCCAAGGCGCUACACACCAACCACACACGAUUUUAUGGAGAUACUGGAGAUCCUGAUCCUUUCUGCUCUCCGGACCUGCCUGAUCUGUUUUGGAUGUCCUACCUCUGGAUGGAGCUCUCAUCUACUCCAAUUCCAGAUUACUGGGACUACGGCUGCUUCUAAGGCCGAACAGACUUCAUAUAAAUCCAUAAUGAACUUUUCACACUAUCUAUUGUUACCCAGAUGAGGAUGGGUUCCCUUCCGAGUCUGGUUCCUCUCAAGGUUUCUUCCUCUUAACAUCUUAGGGAAUUUUCCUUGCCACCGUCACCACCAGCUUGCUCAAUUGGGAUAAAUUCGCACUUUUAAUAUCUGUAUACCGUGUUUAUAUAUUUCUUUAAAGCUGCUUUGAGACAAUGUCUAUUGUAAAAAGUGCUAUACAAA